rnacentral:rRNA from 1 species
AGCGAACGCUGGCGGCAGGCCUAACACAUGCAAGUCGAACGAACCUUUCGGGGUUAGUGGCGGACGGGUGAGUAACACGUGGGAACGUGCCUUUAGGUUCGGAAUAACUCAGGGAAACUUGUGCUAAUACCGAAUGUGCCCUUCGGGGGAAAGAUUAAUCGCCUUUAGAGCGGCCCGCGUCUGAUUAGCUAGUUGGUUGAGGUAAUGGCUCACCAAGGCGACGAUCAGUAGCUGGUCUGAGGGGAUGAUCAGCCACAUUGGGACUGAGACACGGCCCAAACUCCUACGGGAGGCAGCAGUGGGGAAUCUUGCGCAAUGGGCGAAAGCCUGACGCAGCCAUGCCGCGUGAAUGAUGAAGGUCUUAGGAUUGUAAAAUUCUUUCGCCGGGGACGAUAAUGACGGUACCCGGAGAAGAAGCCCCGGCUAACUUCGUG